rnacentral:rRNA from 1 species
GUAACACCUUUCAACCUGCCCUGGAGACAUGGAAAACCCCGGGAAACUGGGAUUAAUCCGUGAUAGGUCACCUCAUCUGGAAGGAGAGAUGGCUUAAAGGGGUGCGAGAGCUUCUUUCUUGCAUUCGCUCCAGGAUGGGACUGCGGCCGAUCAGGCUGUUGGCGGUGUAAUGGACCACCAAACCUGUAACCGGUACGGGCCUUGAGAGAGGGGGCCCGGAGAUGGACACUGAGAGAAGGGUCCAGGUCCUACGGGGCGCAGCAGGCGCGAAACCUUCGCAAUGCGCGAAAGCGUGACGAGGUUAAUCCGAGUGGUCCCCGCUGAGGGGAUCUUUUGUUGGCUGUAAAAAGGCCGAUGAAUAAGGGGAGGGCAAGUCUGGUGUCAGCCGCCGCGGUAAUACCAGCUCCUCGAGUGGUCGGGGCGAUUAUUGGGCCUAAAGCAUCCGUAGCCGGUUCUGUAGGUCCUCUGUCAAAUCCAACGGCUUAACCGUUGGCCCGCAGAGGAUACCGCAGGACU